CGCGUAGGCGGCCUUCUAAGUCAGACGUGAAAUCCCCGGGCUCAACCCGGGAACUGCGUCUGAUACUGGAAGGCUUGAAUCCGGGAGAGGGAUGUGGAAUUCCAGGUGUAGCGGUGAAAUGCGUAGAUAUCUGGAGGAACACCGGUGGCGAAGGCGGCAUCCUGGACCGGUAUUGACGCUGAGGCGCGAAAGCCAGGGGAGCAAACGG
rnacentral:rRNA from 1 species